GACGAACGCUGGCGGCGUGCUUAACACAUGCAAGUCGAACGGAAAGGCCCUUCGGGGUCCUCGAGUGGCGAACGGGUGAGUAACACGUGGGUGAUCUGCCCUGCACUUUGGGAUAAGCCUGGGAAACUGGGUCUAAUACCGAAUAUGAUCAUCGGCUUCAUGGUCGGUGGUGGAAAGCUUUUGCGGUGUGGGAUGGGCCCGCGGCCUAUCAGCUUGUUGGUGGGGUAAUGGCCUACCAAGGCGACGACGGGUAGCCGGCCUGAGAGGGUGACCGGCCACAAUGGGACUGAGAUACGGCCCAGACUCCUACGGGAGGCAGCAGUGGGGAAUAUUGCACAAUGGGCGCAAGCCUGAUGCAGCGACGCCGCGUGAGGGAUGACGGCCUUCGGGUUGUAAACCUCUUUCAGCACAGACGAAGCGCAAGUGACGGUAUGUGCAGAAGAAGGACCGGCCAACUACGUG
rnacentral:rRNA from 1 species